GUAACGGCGAGUGAAGCGGCAACAGCUCAAAUUUGAAAUCUGGCCUCUUGGGGUCCGAGUUGUAAUUUGUAGAGGAUGUUUCGGGUACCGCCUCGGUUUAAAUUUCUUGGAACAGAAUGUCAGAGAGGGUGAGAAUCCCGUCUUGAACCGGUGGUAGGGCCUAUGUGAAACUCCUUCGACGAGUCGAGUUGUUUGGGAAUGCAGCUCCAAAUGGGUGGUAAAUUUCAUCUAAAGCUAAAUAUUGGCCAGAGACCGAUAGCGCACAAGUAGAGUGAUCGAAAGAUGAAAAGCACUUUGAAAAGAGAGUUAAACAGUAUGUGAAAUUGUUGAAAGGGAAGCGCUUACAACCAGACUUGAGCGCGGCGGUUCCCCCUUGCUUCUGCUUGGGUUACUCCGCCGUGUCCAGGCCAACAUCGGUUCUGGGGGUCGGUCAAAGGCCCUGGGAAUGUAUCUACCCUC
rnacentral:rRNA from 1 species